GUUGAACGCUGGCGGCAUGCUUUACACAUGCAAGUCGAACGGUAACAGGUUAAGCUGACGAGUGGCGAACGGGUGAGUAAUGCAUCGGAACGUGCCCGGUCGUGGGGGAUAACGCAGCGAAAGCUGCGCUAAUACCGCAUACGAUCUGAGGAUGAAAGCGGGGGACCGUAAGGCCUCGCGCGAUCGGAGCGGCCGAUGUCAGAGUAGGUAGUUGGUGGGGUAAAGGCUCACCAAGCCAACGAUCUGUAGCUGGUCUGAGCGGACGACCAGCCCCACUGGGACUGAGACACGGCCCAGACGCCUACUGGAGGCAGCAGUGGGGUAUUUUGGACAAUGGGCGAAAGCCUGAUCCAGCAAUGCCGCGUGCAGGAAGAAGGCCUUCGGGGUGUAAACUGCUUUUGUACGGAGCGAAAAGGUCUCCUCUAAUACAGGGGGCUCAUGACGGUACCGUAAGAAUAAGCACCGGCUAACUACGUGCCAGCCGCCGCCGUAA
rnacentral:rRNA from 1 species